UAGACUCCUGUAGUCAACCUGGUGAAAGUUACAAGGUAUAAUAGAAAAAGUAGGAAAAUUGCAAAAGAGAAUAAUGUACUAGUAAACAUGAAAGGUUUGCUAAGAGUAGGGCUUGAGAGGGUUCCCCAAUAGUCCGCAACGAACGCCACAACUAAUGUGGCCUCUACUUUGCUGCUGUUUGUUGGUGAUUAUUUCCAGCAAAAAAAAAAAUGAAUGGUGCUUCCUGGGGUGCUGAAAAUUUAGGAGAUCGAGCUGGGUGUUACUAAACUAUGGAAUUGGAACUUCCAAAAUGGAAGUAUAAAAUCUGGAAUUCGACCGAAAACUAUGGAAUACGCUAGGUGGCGCUGGCUGUCCGAAAGUCUGGAAAUCAGAACCUAAACUCUGGAAGAUCAACCGAAAACUAUGGAAUACGUUACGGGAGUAGGUGGCGCUACAAAUCUUGAAAUCCCGGAACAACAUAUCCUAAAGUAUGGAAGUAGAGUCGGGAAAAUAUGGAAAUUAAAAAUUAAACUACAAAUACAAAGAAGUGAAAAACGAUA